AGCUUUAUAUUCAUAAAAUGAUUGUAGAAUGCAAUUCUACAGGAGUAGUAUCAAUACUACUAAGGCUU
rnacentral:tRNA from 1 species